rnacentral:tRNA from 1 species
UCGCGGUGGCGUACGGCACGUGCACGGUCGCGUUCGUGCCGCGGCCGCUGCUCAAUCUGGCGGCGGGCGCGCUGUUCGGUUCGCAGGCCGGGCU